CAGGAAAGACUAGACUUAAAGGGCUAAGAGGCUUUUGGAUAACGAGAUUGGAUUUUGGAAGCAUAAUAUGAAUCCUAGUUUACCAACAUCGAUUGCCCUAGAUUUGUACUUGAUACAACCAUACAAACUAAUGUGCAAAUUCCAUGUCGAGAAGAAGAAUAUGUAGUUCUAUAACUUUACUUGUACUUUUGCAUUGCACAUUUACAUUUAUAGAUACUCAGAAUUUGCAAAACACAUUUUACCUACAUAAAACAUUAGCUAUCUGAUUGGAACAAGUCAACUAACUGAUCACCUUUACUUGCAUAUUUCCUAAGAUAAUUGAAGCUUCUGCAGAACUUUUGAAGUAGAACUUUGUUCAACUCAGUGCCGUAAUAAUACUCACUAUACACUUGAUGAUAACUAUCCGUUUCAUAAUGACACAAGGCACCUUAUUAGCAAUCUACUCUGACCAACAAAUACUCAUUACUUGUUAAUCACCUUUUACAGGUGCUAUGAGAAGAAACAAAAAUAUAUUAUAUGCUAUCGUUGUUAUUAGGGGUGAGCAAAUUUAAAAAAAAAACCAAAUACUAGACCGAACCAAACAUAUUUCGGUUAAAACGGUUCAGCUAUUUCGGUUUAUUUGGGUUAUUCGGUUUUUUUAGAAUUAAUUUUGAAAAUUCGGUUUUCGGGCGGUUUGGAUUUUUCCAAACCAAACCGACCAAAUAAACCAAUAUAUAUAUGUUUUACAACUUUAGUUUUACGGAACAUUCAAGAAUUAAGAAUCAAAAUACUAAUUCUUCAAAGCCAUCCAUAAAAUUUUCCCAACCCUAAACUGCUAAACAAUUUUUUCCGCCGCCAACGCAUCUUCACUACACUCUCCAUCACCACAAGUCUCCCCACAGCAUCAUUCUUCAUCCUCGCCAGCUGGCCUUCUUCCUCGGCUCACAUCGCAGUGCAAAAAAACUAAAGGAACCAAGUCUAUCUCAGUAUCUCUUAUUCCUCGCAUCAUAUCGUAUCGACGACACCCCACACUAUCUCUUCUUCUCUUUCAUCAUAGAUUCUUCGACAGCUAGUUGCAGUGAAGUUCUUAGAUUACCAGACUUGAAUGUUUAACCGUUAUGUGUCUGUGUUAUGUGGUCCUUUUUUUUUCUUUUUUUUCAGAUGUCUCGAGAAAUUGAAAAACCUGGAGAUGGUAGUUUUCACCCUACACCUCCAGUUGAAAAUCCCAUUCAGACAGGUUUUUUUUCGAGCCAAAACCGACCUGAAAAACCAAAUACUCACCCCUAGCUAUCAAAUUUUAUUGGUGAAGUAGACAUGGAGAACCUAAAGGGAAUCUAAUAUGUGAUUUCACAUAAGUCCUUCAAAGAAGUUCUAGACAUGAAUCAAUCCUAUUGGCUGGGUAGUGGGUACUUCAGUUUCUGUUUUGAUAGCCUUAUUUCUUUUUACUCCUAAUGAACUUUCACAAAAAUGUCUCAUACACACCUGCAAAAUUAACAAGUAGAAAAAGGUCCUAUCUGCCACCGCUAAUUAUGAAACAUUAGAGUGCAUUCAAUUUUCAUGUAAGGUUUUCCGAGAAGGUGUUAAGCUAGCUGUCUGCAAGGGGCAUAUAUCUUAAGGAACUUGCUAUUCAUCAAGAACUCUUUCGGACAACACCUAUUUGUCUGAGAAGAAAUGUAGUCAAUAAGAAAUGCUCUACUCUGCUUUCUAACUAUCUGCUUUCGCACAAACUAUGGUGGACAAGCAUCAAAUAACAAAUCAAUUGUUGAAAGACGUUAAAUUACUGAACCACUGAUUCUAAGACAUAGCAUCAAAAGGUAUGGUUAAGUAAAGAACCUCUUCAUUAGCUUUGAAGCAUCUUCCAAGACACUCCGUUUUGGGCAAGUUGGAUAAUUGCAUCUUUCAACCUGAUAUAAUCAUCAAGAGUAUUGUAUACUUGAUGAGAAAUUCUAACAUAUCCAGUUAUGCAACCAUCUGCAUCCAUGGCUCCAGUCUCCCCAUCUCUUGGCACCUCACAAUGAAUGGGUACUUCUACCAGAAAAUGGUCUCUCAAGUGUGAUCGCAACUUCAGUGCAUCAUCAUCAGACAAAACUCUCAAUUUAGAAGGCAAGCCAAUCAUAGCCAUACUAGGACACAUUUCUGGAGGCGAACCAAGAUUUGUGCCCCAUGCCUUGGCCAACAUUUGGGCCAUUUCCACCGCCUUGUCAUGGUUUCUAUUCCGAAUUCCCUCAAGGCCACCUUCAAACCGUCUAGUGAAUUCCAAAACUUCAGGAAUAACCAGCUGAGAGCUGUAAUCUCGUGUUCCAAUCCACGCACUCUCUAUGGCCAGACCGUUCCCAUAUUCAUGUGAAACCACAGGAUGGUGCAAAUCAGGUGAUACUGGCGAUUUCCGACAAUACAAGAAUGCAACAGAGGGAGGGCAGAAAAACCACUUGUGCAAAUUGCUGACAUAAAAAUCAGCACCAAUCUCCUUGACGUCAACAUGAAUGUUGCCUAUGGCAUGGGCAGCGUCUACAAAGACGCGCUCCACGCCCUCCUCUCGACAAAUCCUAACGAGCUCACGCGCAGGGAUCACAACACAGGGCAUUGAUGUUAUAUGAUCAAUUAUGGCAAGUCGUACUUUCUUACCAUUUGCCUUACCUCUGGCCAAGCCUUUGCGAAACUCUGCUAUGAUCUCUUCAUUGGAAUUCACGGGAAAAGGCAAGUGAACCACAAUGACAGAGCCACCAGCCCUCGUAACAUAGGCCUCGAUGGACUUCUUGACAGCCUGGAAAGCACAGUGGAGCAUGACAACAGCGUCACCCUUCUGAAAACGGCCUUCCGCGAAUGCCCAGCCCACAUGCUGAAGAACAAUUGCAGCAGCUGUGGUGGCGUUGUCGACGAUGGAUACCUCAUCAACAUGGUCGGCGUUGAUAAGAUCCUUGAUGACGGCGCGGGAUUGGAUUAUCUGAGGCUGGAGGUGAUUGAAGAAGAAGUCGUCGGGUUGGCGGAGGAACCGGAGCUGCCAUCUUCUCUGGGCAGCGAUGAUGGAGGCGGGGCAGCUGCCGAAGCUGCCGUUGUUGAGUCGGGCGAUUCCGGACUGGUGGUGGCCGAAUUCUUCGCGGAGUUCCGAUUCCGUAAUAAAAGAGAGUUUGGGCUUCUUCAAGGCGUGGGGGGUGUCGCCGUUAGCGGCGGCGCGAGGGUCUUCGAUUCCGGCCAUCGGCGCCCAAGGAGGGAUGAUUAGAUUAGGGUUUUGGGAGCGGCAAGUUAACCGCUGCUGCGUUUCACUAAUUUGGGGAAAACUCUGCUUUCCAUUCACCGUUUCCCUUAUCCAUGCCCCGCCCCGCCUUGCCUUAUUUACUCCUCACUACUCACUACCAGCUGCUUACUUUUAAUUAAAUUUUAACUUUUUAGGGGUUAAUUACUUAAUUAUUCAUAUUAUUCAUUCCAUGUUUGACCAUAAAUUCACAUGCAUAGCAUAGAGAAACUCAUGAUUAGGGCUGUCGAUCGGUUCGAGUUCGGUUAUCAUAUCCGAAUUUUCGGUUACGGUGUUCGGUUACCUAAUAACCGCUUCAAUUACUCGAUUCGGUUAUUUGGGUAUUCGAAAUAUCCAUUUAAAAAAUUAAAAUUCAAAUAAUUUGCUAGAUAGAAGAUUUAAACCUUAGUCUUUAGAAAAUACACAAAGCAACUUAUCCACUAAACUGAAGCUCAUUCUUAUAUUUUAAAUAUAUCAUAAUUUUAUUUUAGCUAAGACUUGAUUAAAAAAAAACUAAUUAAUGAAUUAAUAAUUAAAAUAUAUAUAAUAAAUAAUUUAUUAAAUAAUUUUCGGUUAUUUCGGUUAACCCGUUUCGGUUAUUGGGUUAACCGAUACCCGAAAUUUUUCUAAAAAUGAUAUCUGAAACCGAACCGAUAACCAAAAAAUUCGGUUAUUGGAUACCCAAACCCGAAAAUUUCGGUUCGGUUAACAGAUUAUCCAAAAUCCGAUAACCAAUUAGACAGCCCUACUCGUGAUUAAGAAUAGGGCUUUCUAAAUGGUUUUCGGGUUUUGGAUAACCCGUUAACCGAACUGAAAUUCUCGAAUUUGGGUAUCGGUUUGGUUCGAUUUUGGGUAUCAUUUUUAAAAAAUUUCGGGUAUCGGUUAACCCGAUAACCGAAACGGGUUAACCGAAAUAACCGAAAAUUAUUUAAUAUAUAUUUUAUAUAUAUUUUAAUUAUUAAUUCAUUAAAUAUAGAGUGUCAUGUGACUUUGAUUCUAAAAUAAAAUUAUGAUAUAUAUAAAAUAUAAGAAUGAUCUUUAACUUAGUGGAUAAGUUGCUCUGUGUAUUUUCAGGAGACCGGGGUUCAAAUCUUCAAUCUAUCAAAUUAUUUGAAUUUAAUUUUUUAAAUGGGUAUUUUGGAUACCCAAAUAACCGAAUCGGGUAACCGAAGCGGUUAUUGGGUAAUCGAACUCCUAAAACGGUUCGAGAACGGUUAGUGAAAUAUGGCAAUUUUGGGUUCGGGUAACUGAAAUUUUGGGUACGAGUAACCGAACCCGAACCAAUCGACAACCCUAAUUAAGAAUGUUGGCCUUUUAAUCUUAGGAUUAAUGGUAGUUUACGGCCAAACUUUGAAGCUAUUUGUAAAAUAGCCCUAACUAUAAAAAAAUAGUUUAGAUUUUGAAAUCAUUUGUAAAACUCGCCACAACCUUAAAAAAUACAAAAUAAUAAUCUAAAUUUUGGAAUCAUUUAUAAAAUUGGCUCGGACUUUAAAUUUUUUGUAAAAGUGACCCAAAUUUUGAAGUUAUUUGUCAAAAUAACCAAAGAGCAUCCGCAUCGCUUACACGAUGCGGCCUACUCGUGUAAGGCCGCUAUCGUGUAAGCCGAUGCAGCCGCUUGUUACUCGAGGGCUACACGUUCUAACGUGUAGCCCUUUUGCCCAUUGAUGAAGGGCGCGUGUUUCACACGCACCCUUAAAAAUAAUUAGAAAAUUCGAAUUUUGAAGGCAGCUUUGACUACCUCGGUUUGCGUGCCAUUUUUGUAUCGUUUCGAAUUUUUUUUUUCUUUCUUCUCUUUAUAUUAUCUUUUCCUCCUUCUUCUUCCUCACUUUCCUUUUAUUUUAUUUUAUUAAGUUUUAUGUAAUUUUUAGGAUUUGCUUUUAUUUUAUUAAGUUUUAUGUAAUUUUUAGGAUUUCAAAAUUAAUGCAAUUUAAAUUUGAGGUAAAUUGUGUGAUUUAAAUUUAUGCAAUUAAACUUAAAUGAAAAAUGGAUAAAUCAAAACUAAAAAAAUCAUGUAGGCUAUUAUGUAACCCCAAUGCAGCCUCUUUACACCAUGUGAUCCCCCCUCAUAAAGUAAGCUAUCAUGUAACACCAAUGUGAAUGCUUUAAACUAUAAAAUAUACAAGAGAUAGUUUAAAUUUUCAAGUUAUUUAUAAAAAUAGUCCAAAUUUUAAAAAAUUUAAAUGACCCGAACUUUAAUAAAUACAAAACAUGUUGAAAUAUUUUCUCUUGUAAUUUUUUAUUUUCUCGCAUAAAUAAUUUAUUUUAUUUCACAAUUAUUUUUUGUCAUAGUCGUGAUAAUCUAAAUGAAUAAUUUAUGAAAUAAUUUGUGUCUUCAACACAAAUUAUCCUUCUUUAUCUGUUCGUACUAAGAAUUUUAUGAGCUUAGAGUUAAAAAAAAAUUGUAUUGUCCAGAAUAUUUUGCGAGAGAAAAAUUAUUCGUGUCAGAUUAUGAUUUGUAAGAGAUCGGGAAUUAUUAUACUUUUUAAGAAUAUUCCAAGUGAAUUUAGAAGUUCCACAUAUUUUUACGUCAAUUUCAGGCUUUUCAUAUUGUCAUAAUUCGAGUAUGAGAGUGUAAGGUCAUGCCAUUUUUAUAACUUUUAUGAAAAGUGAGACCAUUUUUUU
rnacentral:lncRNA from 1 species